rnacentral:rRNA from 1 species
AUAAUGGGUCAGCGACUUAUAUUCUGUAGCAAGGUUAACCGAAUAGGGGAGCCGAAGGGAAACCGAGUCUUAACUGGGCGUUAAGUUGCAGGGUAUAGACCCGAAACCCGGUGAUCUAGCCAUGGGCAGGUUGAAGGUUGGGUAACACUAACUGGAGGACCGAACCGACUAAUGUUGAAAAAUUAGCGGAUGACUUGUGGCUGGGGGUGAAAGGCCAAUCAAACCGGGAGAUAGCUGGUUCUCCCCGAAAGCUAUUUAGGUAGCGCCUCGUGAAUUCAUCUCCGGGGGUAGAGCACUGUUUCGGCAAGGGGGUCAUCCCGACUUACCAACCCGAUGCAAACUGCGAAUACCGGAGAAUGUUAUCACGGGAGACACACGGCGGGUGCUAACGUCCGUCGUGAAGAGGGAAACAACCCAGACCGCCAGCUAAGGUCCCAAAGUCAUGGUUAAGUGGGAAACGAUGUGGGAAGGCCCAGACAGCCAGGAUGUUGGCUUAGAAGCAGCCAUCAUUUAAAGAAAGCGUAAUAGCUCACUGGUCGAGUCGGCCUGCGCGGAAGAUGUAACGGGGCUAAACCAUGCACCGAAGCUGCGGCAGCGACGCUUAUGCGUUGUUGGGUAGGGGAGCGUUCUGUAAGCCUGCGAAGGUGUGCUGUGAGGCAUGCUGGAGGUAUCAGAAGUGCGAAUGCUGACAUAAGUAACGAUAAAGCGGGUGAAAAGCCCGCUCGCCGGAAGACCAAGGGUUCCUGUCCAACGUUAAUCGGGGCAGGGUGAGUCGACCCCUAAGGCGAGGCCGAAAGGCGUAGUCGAUGGGAAACAGGUUAAUAUUCCUGUACUUGGUGUUACUGCGAAGGGGGGACGGAGAAGGCUAUGUUGGCCGGGCGACGGUUGUCCCGGUUUAAGCGUGUAGGCUGGUUUUCCAGGCAAAUCCGGAAAAUCAAGGCUGAGGCGUGAUGACGAGGCACUACGGUGCUGAAGCAACAAAUGCCCUGCUUCCAGGAAAAGCCUCUAAGCAUCAGGUAACAUCAAAUCGUACCCCAAACCGACACAGGUGGUCAGGUAGAGAAUACCAAGGCGCUUGAGAGAACUCGGGUGAAGGAACUAGGCAAAAUGGUGCCGUAACU